GCUCUGACGUUCUCUGCGUCUCAUCCCCGCAGCCCUGCCCCGGGGGCGUUGGGUUUCCCGACGCUAGCAGUGCUGGGUCUUCGACACCCUGGGUCCGGUUGGGGCUGUCAAGCCGGACCAAAUAGGUUGUUUCUCCGCAGUUUCCAACAUGGCAGGCAGGUUUAAAUAAACAUGGAUAAGAAGUCCACUCACAGAAAUCCUGAAGAUGCCAAGGCUGGCAAAAAUGAAGAUAAACAAAAACGAAAGAAAAAAAGAAAGGAAAACCUAAAUCACCACCGAUCCCGACAUAGAUCAGUGACAUCUUUUUCUUCAGAUGAUCGUGUGUUUCCUUCUUCAUCAUCAUCAUCUUCAGGAAGCCAGACGGAUUCGAGUACUGAAGAUGCUACUAAGGAAAAAAUUAAGAGGGGAGAGAAAACAAAUAAAUGGAGAAAAAAAAGAAAGG